UGGCUAGUAGCUUAGUGGCCUAAAAUACUGUCCUUAUAAGGCAGGGAUCGAUGGCUCAAAUCCAUCAUAGCCAACCA
rnacentral:tRNA from 1 species